AAUGAACGCUGGCGGCGUGCCUAACACAUGCAAGUCGAACGAGAAAGGGGCCUUCGGGUCCUGAGUACAGUGGCAGACGGGUGAGUAACGCGUAGGUAACCUGUCCUCGAGUGGGGAAUAACCUGGCGAAAGCUGGGCUAAUACCGCAUGACAUCCCCGGGUCUCCGGGUCUGAGGAUCAAAGAUGGCGAACUUCGAGUGCUAUCGCUCGAGAGGGGGCCUGCGUCCCAUUAGCUAGUUGGUGAGGUAACGGCUCACCAAGGCUUCGAUGGGUAGCCGAGCUGAGAGGCUGAUCGGCCACACUGGAACUGAGACACGGUCCAGACUCCUACGGGAGGCAGCAGUGGGGAAUUUUGCGCAAUGGGGGAAACCCUGACGCAGCGACGCCGCGUGGGCGAUGAAGGCCUUCGGGUCGUAAAGCCCUGUCAGGAGGGAAGAAACGUGCGGGUGUUAAUACCAUCCGUGCAUGACGGUACCUCUGGAGGAAGC
rnacentral:rRNA from 1 species